UUUUAAAAUCCUGGCAGGGCCAACACCUGUGGACUGACCCCUCCCAUACUCGGUGCUCUGUAAACACAGGUUGAAAUGCUGUCCUGGGAUGCCCUUCAUCUCACUUCCAUUUCUAGCACCCACUCCCCCAAACCCGGGGCUCCACCAUGUUCCCCAAGGGAGAGAAAUGGAGGUGAAGUUAAGAGGAAAGCUUGCUGCUUUCCUGUGAAGAACAACCGCCGACAUGCACAUCUUAGGACAGCAUGUCUCCGUGGCCUUGAGCCCUGCACCGCACACAGGGGCUUCACUGAACAGUAUCCUCUUGCCUGCCUCUUUCACAAAACCUUAUGCUUCCCGAGGGCAGGGGCCACACCUGCCCAUCACCGGGCAUGGGUGCCCCACAAACCCCAAAUGGUGCAGAGGUUGAGGGUGGCCUCUUGACCUUAGAGGAUGACUCGACUUCUUUAAACUUCAGUUUUCCCAUCGGUACAAUGGGGGCCACCUUGCAGAGCUGCUGCGAGGUUUCAGUGGGGUAAUGCAAGGGAAGUGACUGGCCUGGUGAACUGAAAUGAACAAACAGGUGGAAAGUUACCUGCAAAGAGUCAUCUGCUUAGCACCUUUGCUACAUUGAGUCUGCGCAGUGAUUCGUG